rnacentral:rRNA from 1 species
UACGAAGGGGGCUAGCGUUGUUCGGAAUUACUGGGCGUAAAGCGCACGUAGGCGGAUACUUAAGUCAGGGGGUGAAAUCCCGGGGGCUCAACCCCGGAACUGCCUUUGAUACUGGGUAUCUCGAGUCCGGAAGAGGUGAGUGGAAUUCCGAGUGUAGAGGUGAAAUUCGUAGAUAUUCGGAGGAACACCAGUGGCGAAGGCGGCUCACUGGUCCGGUACUGACGCUGAGGUGCGAAAGCGUGGGGAGCAAACAGG